UAUCUCUGUAGAGUCUGCAUAUCAAUAAGCGGAGGAAAAGAAACUAACUAGGAUUCCCCUAGUAACGGCGAGUGAAGCGGGAAGAGCUCAAAUUUGAAAUCUUAAAGGGUUUCCCUUGACGAAUUGUAGUUUAAAGAAGUGUUUUCUGUUGGAGUUUUGGUAAAAGUUCUUUGGAAUAGGACAUCAUAGAGGGUGAGAAUCCCGUAUUUGACCAUUAUUUCCAGCUUUGUGAUACACUUUCAAAGAGUCGGAUUGUUUGGGAAUGCAGUCCAAAAUGGGUGGUAAAUUUCAUCUAAAGCUAAAUACUGGCGAGAGACCGAUAGCGAACAAGUACCGUGAGGGAAAGAUGAAAAGAACUUUGAAAAGAGAGUUAAACAGUACGUGAAAUUGUCCAAAAGGGAAGCGUUUGACACCAGUGUUGUUUUCUCGAAAAUCAAUUAAAAAAGGCAGGAUUUUGUGUUGUAUUGACUUUAUCAGCUUUCUGCACUCUAUUCUUGUCUUUUUUAAUGCACUUUUCGUUUAACAAGUCAACAUCAAUUUCUUUUGUUGUAAAAGGGUCAUUGGAAGGUGGCUUUCCUUUCGGAGAAAGUGUUUAUAGCCUUUGGCCUCUGCAAUCGGAGAGAUUGAGGUCUGCAGCGUAGAUCCUUCGGGGUUAGAUACAGUUAGAUGCUAAGUUAUAGCCUUUUCAUAGACAACUUGUUGACUAUAAUCAGUCAUGUAGCUUACUCGCUUAUGGCUAUUUUACCUACGCUUAGGAUGUUGACGAUCAGCUGAGCGCG
rnacentral:rRNA from 1 species